ensembl:misc_RNA
UGGGGACCCACCACAGGAGAGCCUUCUAAGAGGCCUGGCUGAUUUAAUCUGGCUAACGAAGAAAAACAACUUCCGGAGCUGCCUGUUUGAUAACCCCUCAGAGCGCAGCUCCAUGAUGUCUC